rnacentral:rRNA from 1 species
UACGUAGGUGGCAAGCGUUAUCCGGAAUUAUUGGGCGUAAAGCGCGCGCAGGUGGUUUCUUAAGUCUGAUGUGAAAGCCCACGGCUCAACCGUGGAGGGUCAUUGGAAACUGGGAGACUUGAGUGCAGAAGAGGAAAGUGGAAUUCCAUGUAUAGCGGUGAAAUGCGUAGAGAUAUGGAGGAACACCAGUGGCGAAGGCGACUUUCUGGUCUGUAACUGACACUGAGGCGCGAAAGCGUGGGGAGCAAACAGG